AAAAGAGAAAGAGACAAAGAGAGAGAGCUUUGUAAAUGUUAGGGAAGCAAGGAAGGGAUUUUUAUCCUGCCUUAGUUGUCCCAUGACUGUAAAAGAGAUAAAAAUUUUAUUCAUCUUUGUUGUCUUAUAUUUUCAAAAGAGAUAAAGAGAAAAAAUGUGUUCUCUUAAUUCUCCUACAAUGAGGAGACAAAAGAAAAUUAGUCGGAUUACCGAUUAAUAUUCUUUUGAUCGUCCUUUUAUUGGAAGAACAAUGUAAUGUUCGAAAAUAAUCGAACUCUUUGAUUCUAUCCAAAGUUGAAUUCUUCGAUUUGGUCAAAUUAGACCAAUCGCAUUGGACAUUUUAUUCAAUGAAUUUGAUUCUGAACUAUAUAUUUCGACUUUAUU
rnacentral:lncRNA from 1 species